UACGUAGGGGGCAAGCGUUGUCCGGAUUUAUUGGGCGUAAAGAGCGUGUAGGCGGCCAUACAGGUCCGUUGUGAAAACUGGAGGCUUAACCUCCAGACGUCGAUGGAAACCGUAUGGCUAGAGUCCGGAAGAGGAGAGUGGAAUUCCUGGUGUAGCGGUGAAAUGCGCAGAUAUCAGGAAGAACACCCGUGGCGAAGGCGGUUCUCUGGGCAUUACCUGACGCUGAGGAGCGAAAGUGUGGGGAGCGAACAGG
rnacentral:rRNA from 1 species